rnacentral:rRNA from 1 species
UACGUAGGGUGCAAGCGUUGUCCGGAAUUAUUGGGCGUAAAGAGCUCGUAGGCGGCUUGUCACGUCGACUGUGAAAACCCGGGGCUCAACUCCGGGCCUGCAGUCGAUACGGGCUGGCUUGAGUGCGGUAGGGGAGACUGGAAUUCCUGGUGUAGCGGUGAAAUGCGCAGAUAUCGGGAGGAACACCAGUGGCGAAGGCGGCGACCUGGGCCAAUACUGACGCUGAGGUGCGAAAGCGUGGGGAGCGAUCCGG